rnacentral:rRNA from 1 species
GCACCCGCGGUAAUUCCAGCUCCAAUAGCGUAUAUUAAAGUUGCUGCAGUUAAAAAGCUCGUAGUUGGAUCUUGGGAGCGGGCGGGCGGUCCGCCGCGAGGCGAGCCACCGCCCGUCCCCGCCCCUUGCCUCUCGGCGCCCCCUCGAUGCUCUUAGCUGAGUGUCCCGCGGGGCCCGAAGCGUUUACUUUGAAAAAAUUAGAGUGUUCAAAGCAGGCCCGAGCCGCCUGGAUACCGCAGCUAGGAAUAAUGGAAUAGGACCGCGGUUCUAUUUUGUUGGUUUUCGGAACUGAGGCCAUGAUUAAGAGGGACGGCCGGGGGCAUUCGUAUUGCGCCGCUAGAGGUGAAAUUCUUGGACCGGCGCAAGACGGACCAGAGCGAAAGCAUUUGCCAAGAAUGUUUUCAUUAAUCAAGAACGAAAGU